GACGAACGCUGGCGGCGUGGAUUAGGCAUGCAAGUCGAACGGUAUCAUCCUUUCGGGGGUGAGAGAGUGGCGAACUGGUGAGUAACACGUAGGUUAUCUACCCUCAAGACGGGGACGAACCCAGGGAAACUUAGGGCUAAUACCGGAUGUGAGCAACUUUUAGUUGUUUGAAAGGUGGCGUAAGCUGUCGCUUGGGGAUGAGCCUGCGUCCUAUUAGUUAGUUGGUGAGGUAACGGCUCACCUAGGCAAUGAUAGGUAGGCGGCCUUAACGGGUGGUCGCCCACACUGGGAUUGAGAUACGGCCCAGACUCCUACGGGAGGCAGCAGUCGAGAAUAGUCUACAAUGGUCGGAAGACUGAUAGUGCGACGCCGCGUGAACGAUGAAUCCCUUCGGGGUGUAAAGUUCUUUUAUAUGUGAGCAGUGCUUCUUAUAUUAACAGUAUGGGGAGAGAGAUAUUAGCAUAUGAAUAAGCAACGGCUAACUCCGUGCCAGCAGCCGCGGUAAA
rnacentral:rRNA from 1 species